rnacentral:rRNA from 1 species
UACGUAGGUGGCGAGCGUUGUCCGGAUUUACUGGGCGUAAAGGGAGCGUAGGCGGACUUUUAAGUGAGAUGUGAAAUACUCGGGCUCAACUUGAGUGCUGCAUUUCAAACUGGAAGUCUAGAGUGCAGGAGAGGAGAAUGGAAUUCCUAGUGUAGCGGUGAAAUGGGUAGAGAUUAGGAAGAACACCAGUGGCGAAGGCGAUUCUCUGGACUGUGACUGACGCUGAGGCUCGAAAGCGUGGGGAGCAAACAGG